rnacentral:lncRNA from 1 species
CCCUCUUUACUUCCCCCCAUUUUCAAGUUGCUUAUUUUUUCUAAUAAAAAAAACCAUUUUCCCUCCUUUUUGUUUAGCUAGCUGCAUCCCUUUUCCUCCUCUGUUUUGCACCAACUGUGUCCGCGGGCGUUGCGAGAAUCCUUAUGCUUCUUCUAACCAUACUUGGUAUUGGGAUGAUUUCCCAUUUCGAAUUCUAGACCAUCCAAACACUUUAUUCAGGGGCUGUUUGGAUACGAGGUGCUAAACUUUAACAGUGUCACAUCGGAUGUUCGGAUGCUAAUUAGGAGGACUAAACAUGAGCUAAUUAUAAAACUAAUUGCAGAACCUUGUGCUAAUUCGCGAGACGAAUCUAUUAAGCCUAAUUAAUCCAUCAUUAGCAAAUGGUUACUGUAGCACCACAUUGUCAAAUCAUGGACUAAUUAGGCUUAAUAGAUUCGUCUCGCGAAUUAUAAUCCAUCUGUGCAAUUAGUUUUGUAAUUAGCUUAUGUUUAGUACUCCUAAUUAGUAUCCAAACAUCCGAUGUGACAGGUGUUAAACUUUAACAGGUGUUUCCCAAACACCCCCUCAGAGCUAUCAAUACCAAUUCCGAAUUUUGAGGCUCAAUACCUACAUCCAAAACAGAAAAACAGGCAUGAC